rnacentral:rRNA from 1 species
AACACGACUCUCGGCAACGGAUAUCUUGGCUCUCGCAUCGAUGAAGAACGUAGCAAAAUGCGAUACCUGGUGUGAAUUGCAGAAUCCCGCGAACCAUCGAGUUUUUGAACGCAAGUUGCGCCCGAGGCCUUCUGGUUGAGGGCACGCCUGCCUGGGCGUCACGC